ACAGCUUCUAGAUGCAUUGCAGGUAUGGCUGCUGUGUUAUAUGUGUAUCAGUUAAGUGGCAGAGAGGAGACGGGCUAUAUACUCAGUAUUCUGACCUGUGAACAUCUGAAUGAUUAGUAGUCCAACACU